GACGAACGCUGGCGGCGUGCUUAACACAUGCAAGUCGAACGAUGGACCCGGAGCUUGCUCCGGUGGAUUAGUGGCGAACGGGUGAGUAACACGUGAGUAACCUGCCCUUGACUCUGGGAUAACUGCGGGAAACUGUAGCUAAUACCGGAUACGACCCUCGGCGGCAUCGCCAGGGGGUGGAAAGAAUUUCGGUCAAGGAUGGACUCGCGGCCUAUCAGCUAGUUGGUGAGGUAACGGCUCACGCAAGGCGACGACGGGUAGCGGGCCUGAGAGGGUGACCGGCCACACUGGGACUGAGACACGGCCCAGACUCCUACGGGAGGCAGCAGUGGGGAAUAUUGCACAAUGGGCGCAAGCCUGAUGCAGCAACGCCGCGUGAGGGAUGACGGCCUUCGGGUUGUAAACCUCUUUUAGUAGGGAAGAAGCGAAAGUGACGGUACCUGCAGAAAAAGCACCGGCUAACUACGUGCCAGCAGCCGCCGCCG
rnacentral:rRNA from 1 species